AUACGGAGGAUGCGAGCGUUAUCCGGAUUUAUUGGGUUUAAAGGGAGCGUAGGUGGGCUAUUAAGUCAGCUGUGAAAGUUUGGGGCUCAACCUUAAAAUUGCAGUUGAUACUGGUUUCCUUGAGUACGGUCCAGGUGGGAGGAAUUCGAGUAGUAGCGGUGGAAUGCUUAGAUAUCACGAAGAACUCCGAUCGCGAAGGCAGCUCACCGGGCCGGAACUGACACUGAUGCUCGAAAGUGCGGGUAUCAAACAGGAUUAGAUACCCUGGUAGUCCACACAGUAAACGAUGAAUACUCGCUGUUUGCGAUAUACAGUAAGCGGCCAAGCGAAAGCAUUAAGUAUUCCACCUGGGGAGUACGCCGGCAACGGUGAAACUCAAAGGAAUUGGCGGGG
rnacentral:rRNA from 1 species